AUUUCACACUAAAUACGUCGAAAAGGUGUGUUAAUUGACCAUAGUGAAGUUAGCUUCAUAUUCGACAUUCAUCUCACAUUCGGAAGACGUUACUUUGCAGCGUCGCGCUAGGGACCGGGUGAAAACUACCCAUACCAUUUUGAAAAAUGGCUUUUAUAAUAUUUUGGAUUUGAUAUUCUGAAGAUGUUUUGCACUCUGAAUUUGCACUGUCAGUUAUGUUUUUGAAUAAAGGGUUGGAAAUUAAUGCUUUUUAGUUUUUUAUCCGAUUCAUCGAUUAAUCGAAAAAAAGAAUCAACAGAUUAAUCGAUUACUAAAAUAAUCGUAAGUUGCAGCCCUAGUUAAAUGGUCUUACCACCACAAACAUCUAGACAUUUAAUUAAUAACAGAAGUAAUUACAUGCACACUGGUUGAGCCAGUCAUAUUUGUAGGCCUAAUUCACCAUAUAGCGCAUGAAAUGUACAUUUGAAAUGUGCAGGCAGUUUUGACAUUUGACAAAUUAAUUAAUGUAACAAAGUUCACUGAUCUAUACUAUAUCCACUUUUUAUUAUCGUUCUGUUACAGCAAAUCCCUUUGAAAGCAGCCAAUUCAAUGUUACGCCAGCAGUCAGCACUGUGGCCAUAUUGGUUGUGAAAGUGAAUUAGCUUCUAAAUAACGAAACAGGAUUUACUUGUUUCCCUUAGUACGAACUCCGGUGCGUUAAGAGCUUAGUCUCAAAGGCGAAUGCCUUUGUUCAUUGCAUUAGUUUAGUAACUAAACUAAAUUCACUGAAGUUAUCAUACAGCCUCCAAUACCCUCUUAGUACACACGCUUGUGAAGAAAUUACCUAUUGUAUCCUUAAAGUAUGGUUUUUCAGAUGUUCUAAACAUGUAACUCGGAAAUUCCUACCAUGAUGUAGUUUUGAAGAGAGAUUUCCAAGUUGAUCUUUUUUAGGAUUAGUUUAUGAAUUUACAUUUAGGAGCUCACUGUGGACAAAGCACAAACUUGAGUAAUGUUGCUCUAGCUAAAGGAAAAAGAUGUGUUGAAAAAAACUGAGGGAUUCAUGUUCCACACAUUUUCGUCCAAUUCAGGCACUUGGUAAACAACUUAAAACAUCAUGGUUGCCUGACGUUUUUGUCAUUUUCAUAAGUAUUGUUUUUUUACAUCUUUAACUCAGCAGAUCUAUUGAGUUUUUUUGACCAUAUCAAUGUAAUUAAAUCAAAUAAAUGUGCCUCUCUUAAAAUGCAUAGCUAAAAUACCAUAUUUUUUCCAGUCCCCUUAGCAACUGUCUCGGUACCAACAAGCCUAUGUGACCAGUAGAUUGGUAAAGCUAAAAUAUAGCAUACUUGUUGCCAAGACUGUUGCCAUGGAACUGAUGUAACACUUUGGCCUUAUAUAGAGAUGGUUGAUAUAACUGUCAUCAUCUUUAUACACUUGCCUUCAGAAGAUGUGACAUUUCAAAUGCAUUAGAUAUUUGGAGUAUUGGUAUGUGAAGUGUUUGCAAUUCCAUAGAUAGGUGACCAACAACUUUGUAAAUUUGUGGACCAUGUCAUUAGUUAUUAUACUAGUAAUUUUUAGGAAAACAUAUAGAGUCUAUGGUUAUCAGAACGGUUGCAAAUUAUUCACAUUUUGUUAUUUCAUCUCAUUUCGCAGAUGGAGUGCACUGCCUUACAUGUGCAUUGAUGCUGUUGAACACGGACCUUCAUGGCCAUAAUAUUGGGAAGAAGAUGACGUGCCCGGAAUUCAUCAGUAAUCUUGAAGGCCUAAAUGCAGGACAACAUUUCCCUAGAGAGGUUCUUAAGG